AGUGAACGCUGGCGGUAGGCCUAACACAUGCAAGUCGAACGGCAGCACAGUAAGAGCUUGCUCUUACGGGUGGCGAGUGGCGGACGGGUGAGGAAUACAUCGGAAUCUACUUUUUCGUGGGGGAUAACGUAGGGAAACUUACGCUAAUACCGCAUACGACCUACGGGUGAAAGCAGGGGAUCUUCGGACCUUGCGCGAUUGAAUGAGCCGAUGUCGGAUUAGCUAGUUGGCGGGGUAAAGGCCCACCAAGGCGACGAUCCGUAGCUGGUCUGAGAGGAUGAUCAGCCACACUGGAACUGAGACACGGUCCAGACUCCUACGGGAGGCAGCAGUGGGGAAUAUUGGACAAUGGGCGCAAGCCUGAUCCAGCCAUACCGCGUGGGUGAAGAAGGCCUUCGGGUUGUAAAGUCCUUUUGUCGGGAAAGAAAAGCAGCAGGUUAAUACCCCGCUGUUCUGACGGUACCCAAAGAAUAAGCACCGGCUAACUUCGUG
rnacentral:rRNA from 1 species